AGCUUUGUGCAGUGGCAGUAUCGUAGCCAAUGAGGUCUAUCCAAGGCGCGAUUAUUGCUGAUUAUUGCUAAUUAAAACAACAACCUACUAGAUGUGGCCUUUCCACUGCAGAAGGCUCAUUCCCUUAGAAGGG
rnacentral:snRNA from 1 species